CCCCCAUUGUCAGACGUCCCGAGCGCGUACCCGGAGUCGGAAUCGGCAAAGGUGAGCCGGGACAGCCUUCUUCCUCCGCCCAGCCACCACAGUAAUUUGUCGUCAAGUUUGCCACAGGAGGAUAUUUUGUUCUGGGUUAACCUGCUUUUCUACCUCGCAGGUUGUUUAUCAAUAUUGUGUAAUUUUAAUUACUCCUAGAAUUUUCGCAUGUGUUAGCAGUAAUUAUUUAAAUUUGGUCUGUAAUAUUAUAUUCAUGUUGGACCUGUAAACUUAAUAUUUUAAGUCUGUUUUGAUGGAUUGGAUGAGGGAGCUGAGCUCCCAUUUAUUAUUAUGUUGAUGAGUAUGUGGAGGGUGAGCUGAGCUCCCCAAUGGAUUGUUUAUUGUGUUUACAGGUCGGGUGAGUCGAAAACUCCCCGUUGGAAAGUCCAUUUUAUGGCCGGACUCUGUCCGUUUGUUUUCUUGAAAUUGGGCCCAAUGGGCCUUAGAGUUGGGUUAAUGAACAGUUAGGCUUACUACGGGCCUCGGGGGCUUUAAGCUGGCCCAGGUCCUAGUGCCGGUCCGGCCCAUAGGUUGGGUCGUGACAAAUGUGGUAUCAGAGCUUAGGCUCCAGAUUCAUAGGGAAAAAUUAUCUAAGUGUUGGGAAGAGUCUACUAGGAGUCACAUGCGGAGUAUAGGAUUCUGUUUCGUCUUUUCCUGUAAUUCUUUGUUUCUAGAUUCUACGUUAUACCUCGGGAAAUAUAAGAUUACCUCAGUUAGUGUCUUGAUUUUCGUGGAGUACACAGAAAUGUGAAAUAGAGUUAGUAGACAUGUGAGAUCUAUCAUGAGGAUACGUACUCCAAGAAAUGUUAUAUUUUUGUCAGUAUGGGUUUAAAUGGUGUGCCCAUUUCGUGUAAGACACGAGUACAUAAAAGUGAGUCUUAAAAGUACAGUUGCCCUAGAUAAGGAUGAGGA